GACGAACGCUGGCGGCGUGCUUAACACAUGCAAGUCGAACGGUGAAGGGGAGCUUGCUCCCCGGAUCAGUGGCGAACGGGUGAGUAACACGUGGGCAACCUGCCCCAGACUUCGGGAUAACGCUUCGAAAGAGGUGCUAAUACCGGAUACGAACUCCUUGGGCAUCCUGGGAGUUGGAAAGUUUUUCGGUCUGGGAUGGGCCCGCGGCCUAUCAGCUUGCUGGUGAGGUAACGGCUCACCAAGGCGACGACGGGUAGCCGGCCUGAGAGGGCGACCGGCCACACUGGGACUGAGACACGGCCCAGACUCCUACGGGAGGCAGCAGUGGGGAAUAUUGCGCAAUGGGCGAAAGCCUGACGCAGCAACGCCGCGUGAGGGAUGACGGCCUUCGGGUUGUAAACCUCUUUCAGCAGGGAAGAAGCGAAAGUGACGGUACCUGCAGAAGAAGCACCAGCUAACUACGUGCCAGCCGCCGCCGUAA
rnacentral:rRNA from 1 species